UACGGAGGGUGCAAGCGUUAUCCGGAAUCACUGGGCGUAAAGGGCGCGUAGGCGGUCUGUUAAGUCCGAUGUUAAAGCCCGGGGCUCAACCCCGGCACGGCGUUGGAUACUGGCAGGCUUGACGGCUGGAGAGGCGAGUGGAAUUACCAGUGUAGCGGUGGAAUGCGUAGAUACUGGUAGGAACACCUAUGGCGAAGGCAGCUCGCUGGACAGCACGUGACGCUGAGGCGCGAAAGUGUGGGGAGCAAAC
rnacentral:rRNA from 1 species